rnacentral:rRNA from 1 species
UACAGAGGGUGCGAGCGUUGUCCGGAAUCACUGGGCGUAAAGGGCGCGUAGGCGGCCACCGCAAGUCGACUGUGAAAUCUCCGGGCUUAACCCGGAAAGGUCAGCCGAUACUGCGGGGCUAGAGUGCAGAAGGGGCAACUGGAAUUCUCGGUGUAGCGGUGAAAUGCGUAGAUAUCGAGAGGAACACCUGCGGCGAAGGCGGGUUGCUGGGCUGACACUGACGCUGAGGCGCGAAAGCUAGGGGAGCGAACGGG